AUGCACAGUUCUGCGUGUGGCCAGGCCAGAGGAGGGAGCUAUGGCCCUGCAAACACAUCCUGCACGGCUGUGGGGCCACCAGAACCCAGGAGGGACUCAGUGUCAGCAUUCUUGAUGGGCAGGAAUGGGAUGCAAACCAUGGCCCUUACAAAACAACCCAAUUGCUACCUGGCUGACUGUGCUCCCCAGCAAACUGCUACCCUCCACCACAGAGGUACCAACAAGAAAAGGCCCAGAAUCACUGGCCUUGGGAGGGCACAGUGGAUCUCAGAGCAGGGAAAGCAAUGCCGGGCAUUAGGGGUGUGGUGGGGUGAAGGAAGGAGCACAGAGGCCAGUGGACAUGAAGCUUCAGGCACAAAAAUGUUGGUACAGGAGACAGGAGCUGCAGCCUUGGAGAGGCAGAGAGGAGCUGAAGCUUCCUCCAUGAAGCAGGUCUGUCUGCCCUUCACCUUCCUUGGGAGGAUUGCCUCAUGGGGUUGCCUGCAGUGGGGGAGGAAAAACUCACAGGAAUGGAGGCUGAAGCCCACAGCCUGGGAGGAAGCAGGAGGGGCAGUGGCAGCAGUCUGUGCGCAGGGAACUGUCAUCCAGCCGUCAUUGUGCUUCUUUUCCUGUGGGCACCAGGCACGUGCUGUGGGGAGACGAGAGCAGGGAGGUGAUGGCACAGCUGGGGGCAGAGCAGCAAUGGAGAUUUCUGCCGCUGUCACCAAAGACACCGUCACGCAGAGCAGGGAAGGAGCAUAUCACGCAGCUAAGACAAACAGAGGCCUACAGCCCAUAAACAACCCCCUUAGAAAUAAAGAGCUGUCUCAGUUUAUUCUGCUCGGAUCAAGUUCUGUAUCUGCUUAUUUUUGGCCUCUCCUCUGCCUCAUGGUGGAGGCAGUGCCCUGCUGGCAUGAGGCUGGAGCCUACAGCUCCUUUCUGACCGCUGGAGCUAAGGCAAUCGCUGCCUGCUCAGUGCAGCCUGGUGAGCCAUGUGGGUGUCAGUACCAGCAGAAGGUGUGCCCAGCCCUCCUUGCUCCCGUGGUGGAUUUAAGUACUGGUUGUGUUAACUGGAAGGGGAAGAAGCAGGAAACGAAAUGA
rnacentral:lncRNA from 1 species